rnacentral:rRNA from 1 species
UGGACUUGCUCCUGAAGUUACGGCGGACGGGUGAGUACACGUGGGCACCUGCCUAUAAGACUGGGAUAACUUCGGGAAACCGGAGCUAAUACCGGAUACGUUCUUUUCUCGCAUGAGAGAAGAUGGAAAGACGGUUUACGCUGUCACUUAUAGAUGGGCCCGCGGCGCAUUAGCUAGUUGGUGAGGUAAUGGCUCACCAAGGCGACGAUGCGUAGCCGACCUGAGAGGGUGAUCGGCCACACUGGGACUGAGACACGGCCCAGACUCCUACGGGAGGCAGCAGUAGGGAAUCUUCCGCAAUGGACGAAAGUCUGACGGAGCAACGCCGCGUGAACGAAGAAGGCCUUCGGGUCGUAAAGUUCUGUUGUUAGGGAAGAACAAGUACCAGAGUAACUGCUGGUACCUUGACGGUACCUAACCAGAAAGCCACGGCUAACUACGUGCCAGCAGCCGCGGUAAUACGUANGUGGCAAGCGUUGUCCGUUUUUUUGG